UACGAAGGGGGCUAGCGUUGCUCGGAAUCACUGGGCGUAAAGGGUGCGUAGGCGGGUCUUUAAGUCAGGGGUGAAAUCCCUCGGCUUAACCGGGGAACUGCGUCUGAUACUGGAUGGCUCGAGUUUGGGAGAGGGAUGCGGAAUUCCAGGUGUAGCGGUGAAAUGCGUAGAUAUCUGGAGGAACACCGGUGGCGAAGGCAGUGUUCUGGGCCAUAACUGACGCUGAGAAGCGAAAGCAUGGGGAGCGAACAGG
rnacentral:rRNA from 1 species